AAGAAGGAAGGUGCCAUGAAAAGGAAGAGUGAGAGCACUUGCAAAAGAAAGAAGAGAGAUGUAAGAAAGAGGAGGAAGAAAGAUUGAGACAGGAAGAAGAGGAGAAGAGGCAGAUGAAGGAAGAAAGGCUCUGGAUGGAACAGCAGACAGGAAGUUGAGAAAAUGAACAAGAAGAUGGAAGAAGUGAAGGAGGUCACAGUCUGAGUGGUCUCAGAAGAGUUUCUCAAGGAUGUGAAAUCCUCCAGCAAAGGCUUUCGGGAACUGCUGUCAGUACACAAGGGUGCACAUGUGAAGCAGUCAAGAAAGUCAAGGAAGAACAAGAUCUUCCACCCUCUGGUUUCUUGAGUUGAGGGCCACCAACUGGGCAUGGGACUCACAAUGGCCUCAUCCUCCUUGCCCACUACUGUGUCGGUGCCCAUGCCAGUGCUAGUGCCCACAGCUGUGGCUGCAUCCACCAUGCCCUCUACCUGGGACAAUAACUGGACCAAGGAGGAGAGAGACAGCUUUGUGGCACUGUUGGGCGAGGAGCAGCACUAAUCCAAGCGGGACAGGCACUCAGAUGCCCCCAUGUAUGAGGCACUGUCAAGCCAGAUGCAGAAGCUCAGGCACGAUCUGUUGGUGCAGCAGUGCCACAUAAAAAUCAAGGUUAUGCAGGCACAGUGGGUCGCCAAGACCAACUGCAAUCAUCACCAGAGGAGAGCCCCUUCGGGGGUCCAGCUCCCUGUUGUGCUGAGCUCCUUGCCUGCAAUUUCCACCAACAACUCAGAGCCCUGGCCAGUACCUGCCUUGCCAACUCCACAGCCCCAGGGGCAGCCACAACAUGCAGCUGGCCAUGACACUGCUGACUGCCAGCAGCAUUGGUUCCUGCCCAGGGGAGGCCCUGGCUCAGUGCCUGCACAUGACACCCACCAUCAGAGGACACUGGCUGGAGUCGCAUGCCAUCACCAAUAGCCAGGACUGAGUGGGGCCACUGGCUGCGCCAGCCCUGGCCACGGGCUAAGGACCGCACUGAGGGGAGGGCCCUCCCCGACCUGGCCCCUGCU